rnacentral:rRNA from 1 species
UGAGGAAUAUUGGACAAUGGGCGCAAGCCUGAUCCAGCCAUGCCGCGUGCAGGAAGAAGCAUCUAUGGUGUGUAAACUGCUUUUGUACGGGAAGAAACACUCCUACGUGUAGGAGCUUGACGGUACCGUAAGAACAAGGAUCGGCUAACUCCGUGCCAGCAGCCGCGGUAAUACGGAGGAUCCAAGCGUUAUCCGGAAUCAUUGGGUUUAAAGGGUCCGUAGGCGGUUUAGUAAGUCAGUGGUGAAAGCCCAUCGCUCAACGAUGGAACGGCCAUUGAUACUGCUAGACUUGAAUUACAAGGAAGUAACUAGAAUAUGUAGUGUAGCGGUGAAAUGCUUAGAUAUUACAUGGAAUACCAAUUGCGAAGGCAGGUUACUACUUGUGGAUUGACGCUGAUGGACGAAAGCGUGGGGAGCGAACA